CAAAGGAAAGCACAGAAGUCAUGGUUUCAGACCAUACAUCAGACAUGCAAAGAAAUAUUGCUGUGAAAGCAGGGGGGAACCUAAAAAAAAAACAACAAAACACCCCAGCUUUGGUUCCCAAAGCUAAAAACAAAUUUAAAAUAAAAUCAGAGUUCUACUGUUUCAUCACCUUCAGGUUCCCCAGGACGGAAGGACAGCAUUGCUUUUCUGCUUUUCACCCCAGGACAGAAAAUGCCACCAUAACACCGUGCUUCCAACAGCAAAAGGACAGACAGGAGAAAUCCCUGCUGCCUACCCAGACCUUGAGAGACUUCUUGGGACACCAGGAACCAGGAGCCUUUCCCUCUCUGUGCUGGGGAGGAGAGCUACAGGCCAUGGAGAGAGUUUGCAGCUGCCUUUGCAAACCAUCCCAGCCCUGCAGUGGUGGGCCAGCUCCCUGUCUGCAUUGCAGGUCACACCAUCAGCACCAGCACACCGGCUGGCACAGCCCAGGGAGCAGCAAAGCCUGACCUGGCACAGGGAGGAGGAGAGCAGGGCUGGGAAAUGCUUUCACCCAGGUCUACCACUGAAGCCACCACAUUGUACAACCUCAUCCUGCAAGGCUGCAGCAGCUCAAGGAUCCUGAAGAAAUCAUCCUUUGCUGCCAAGACACGUUUCUCUCUAGCAGGGACAGGAAUUCCUAUUUCCUGGGAACAAGGGAAGCUCACUAAAAACUGUUGCUUGUGUAUGACCUGCUGUCCAUUGUAGCUUCUCUAAUAAAAGCACCCAUUUCAAUCA
ensembl:lncRNA